CGACGYCGCGUGGGGGANGAAGGCCUUNGGGUUGUAAACCYCUUUUCCGAGGGAAGANAANGGACGGUACCUUGGGAAUAANCCCCGGCUAACUACNUGCCAGCAGCCGCGGUAAUACGUAGGGGGCAAGCGUUACCCGGAAUNAUUGGGCGUAANGUGCNCGUAGGCGGUUGGAUAAUUCUCUUGUGAAANCUCCCGGCUCAACUGGNAGAGGUCAAGGGAUACUAUUCGACUAGAGGACAGCAGAGGUAAGCAGAAUUCCCGGUGUAGCGGUGGAAUGCGNANAUAUCGGGAGGAACACCAGCGGCGAANGCGGCUUACUGGGCUGUAUCUGACGCUGAGGCGCGANAGCGUGGGGAGCAAACUGGAUUAAAUACCCNGGUAGUCCACGCCCUAAACGAUGGAUACUANGUAUGGGGGGUAUUGACCCCCUCCGUGCCGUANCUAACGCGUUAAGUAUCCCGCCUGGGGACUACNGCCGCGAGGCUAAAACUCAAAUGA
rnacentral:rRNA from 1 species